AAAACAAAAACAAGUCCAGGAGAGCUAUUUACCAUACACCAGUGAAAAUCAAGAUCAACAGAAACUGCCUUUUAAAAAUACUGUUAGAGGAACUUAAGAUCGAGAAGACUCAUUAUUUGCAUUUCUUUACAGAUUGCCUACGUGCCUCAGUGCGUGCUUGUUUCCUUCAGCAAAUUCUAAUGAGGAACACUAUGCAUAUGCAUGACCCUCGCAGUGCUACAUGGGAUGCUUUAUGCAUACAUUUUCCACCUUCCUGUCAGCCUCACUGAGUGGAUGAGCUGGGUGAAGGUUCUGUAGAAGAUUUCAGCCCAUUACAUUCUCUGGUGAAGAGAAUCAGCAAGAUGCUCCUCGGGUGGAAGCACGAAGUUUAUAAAUUAUUGACCAUACUGAAAAACUCUACCUUCUUCCUUCCUAAUGACUACAACCUGAGACUGGACCCUCCGAAGAGUUCCCACCAACACCAAGAAGUCUCCUUUUUGUGCUGUUUAUUAUGAAUUCACCAAGUUCCCAGGUUGUCUAGCAGGUACCCUCCAUCAGAGCAAGGACAGCCCGUUUAACUCCAAAUGUGUUUAUUGCAUUUUCAGAGCCGAUCAUUUCUUCAUUCAUUGCCCUAGUCAGGAUUCCAGGACCAAAAAGUACAGGACAGGAAGGACAGAGAAAAUGGCAGUUUGAUCGUUUAGAGCUGAUCAUCUCUUCAUUCCCAUGUUGCCCUGCUCAGGCUUCCGGGACCAAAAAGUCCAGGACACGGAGGACACAGCACAAGGCAAUUUGAUUGUUUAGGUAAUUUCAGUUGUAUUUAUUUUUUACUAUCAAGAAUAAUGAAGGCACAUGCAGAGAUUUUCUGAAUGAAUGGUUUCCCUCAUUAGUUCUUAUUGAAGACCAGUCUUAGUGCGUGGUGAUCUGAUAGGAUACAUGGGAUUAUUUCUAUCUCCCUGUAUCUGUUGAAGCCUGUUUUGUGACAGAUUAUAUGAUCAACUUUG